rnacentral:rRNA from 1 species
CCUACGGGCGGCUGCAGUGGGGAAUUUUGGACAAUGGGCGCAAGCCUGAUCCAGCCAUGCCGCGUGCAGGAUGAAGGCCCUCGGGUUGUAAACUGCUUUUGUACGGAACGAAAAGCCUCUCUCGAAUAAAGAGGGGUGAUGACGGUACCGUAAGAAUAAGCACCGGCUAACUACGUGCCAGCAGCCGCGGUAAUACGUAGGGUGCGAGCGGUCAUCGGGCUUACGGGGCGGGAAUUGCAAGCCGGUGGUGAAAUCCCCGGGCUCAACCUGGGAACGGCCAUUGUGACUGCAAGGCUGGAGUACGGCAGAGGGGGAUGGAAUUCCGCGUGUAGCAGUGAAAUGCGUAGAUAUGCGGAGGAACACCGAUGGCGAAGGCAGUCCCCUGGGCCUGUACUGACGCUCAUGCACGAAAGCGUGGGGAGCAAACAGGAUUAGAUACCCCGGUAGUC